GCUUGUCUCAAAGAUUAAGCCAUGCAUGUCUAAGUAUAAAUGGUAUACAGUGAAACUGCGAAUGGCUCAUUAAAACAGUUAUAGUUUAUUUGGUAUUCGAAUUUACAUGGAUAACCGUGGUAAUUCUAGAGCUAAUACAUGCGUAAAGUCCCGACUCUUUCUGGGGAGGGAUGUAUUUAUUAGAUAAAAAACCAAUGCGGGUUCUGCCCGGUUUUGUGUUGAAUCAUAGUAACUUUUCGAAUCGCAUGGCUUCACGCCGGCGAUAGUUCAUUCAAAUUUCUGCCCUAUCAGCUUUCGACGGUAGUGUAGUGGACUACCGUGGCGUUAACGGGUAACGGAGAAUUAGGGUUCGAUUCCGGAGAGGGAGCCUGAGAAACGGCUACCACAUCUAAGGAAGGCAGCAGG
rnacentral:rRNA from 1 species